rnacentral:rRNA from 1 species
CGUUACUGAGUCGAUCCGCUGAUGGCGGAUGCCCCUGAAUUUUUUGUGGCCGCAGUAUAUUAACUGUGCUAAGGUAGCAUAAUCAUUAGUCUUUUAAUUGAAGGCUGGAAUGAAUGGUUGGACGAAAUAUUAACUGUUUCAUGUAAAUUUAUAAUAAAAUUUUAUUUUUCAGUCAAAAAGCUGAAAUUGUAUUAAAAGACGAGAAGACCCUAUAAAUCUUAAUAUUUUUGUUAUUAUAAUUAUAAAGAUUAAUUUUAUUAUAAUAAUUAAAAAUAUUUUAUUGGGGUGAUAUUAAAAUUUAAUAAACUUUUAAUUUAUUAAAUCAUUAAUUUAUGAAUAUAUGAUCCAAUUUUAUUGAUUAAAAAUUUAAGUUACUUUAGGGAUAACAGCGUAAUUUUUUUGGAGAGUUCAUAUCGAUAAAAAAGAUUGCGACCUCGAUGUUGGAUUAAGAGAUAAAUUUGGGCGCAGCCGUUCAAAAGUUAAGUCUGUUCGACUUUUAAAUUCUUACGUGAUCUGAGUUCAGACCGGAAAUCCU